GACAGAGGGUGCAAACGUUUGUUCGGAAUUACUGGGCGUAAAGCGCGUGUAGGCGGCCAACUAAGUCGGGCGUGAAAUCCCACGGCUCAACCGUGGAAGUGCACUCGAAACUGGAUGGCUAGAGUCCUGGAGAGGAAGGUGGAAUGCUUGGUGUAGAGGUGAAAUUCGUAGAUAUCAAGCGGGACACCGGUGGCGAAGGCGGCCUUCUGGACAGUGACUGACGCUGAGACGCGAAAAGCGUGGGGGAGCGAACAGG
rnacentral:rRNA from 1 species